AGCCCCGUGGUGAAGAUCAUGUUGGAUUGCAAAUCCAAAGACGCAGACUAAUUUCCUGCCGGGGCUUUU
rnacentral:tRNA from 1 species